rnacentral:rRNA from 1 species
UACGAAGGUGGCAAGCGUUGUUCGGAUUCACUGGGCGUACAGGGUGUGUAGGCGGUUUGGUAAGCCUUCUGUUAAAGCUUCGGGCCCAACCCGGAAAGCGCAGAGGGUACUGCCAGGCUAGAGGGCGGGAGAGGAGCGCGGAAUUCUCGGUGUAGCGGUGAAGUGCGUAGAUAUCGAGAGGAACACCUGCGGCGAAGGCGGGUUGCUGGGCUGACACUGACGCUGAGGCGCGAAAGCUAGGGGAGCGAACGGG